CUGGACCUCCGUUGACCUGCAGCAGUUAUAGAGGCCUUCUCCAUAUGUUCUAGAGAAUCUAAAGAAGCUUUAACUUCAUUAGCAACUUCAAAAUCUGAAUUCUUUGAUCGCUUUCCGGCCUCUUUGAACACCUGCUGACCAUAACUUUCCACCUGAUCACUAAGGUGUGCUACAGAUUUUCUUCUACAACCAUUUCUACCUAAACCCUUUGAAGAUUCUUUAAUCUGAACGACCCCUUCACAUUCUUUCAUAACGCCAACAACUUCAUUUUCACCUUUACCUUCAAUUGUAGAAGCAUUCCCCUCAAACUGAGCUCCAGAACUUGUGAUCGUACUAACGACAUCAACUUUCAUCAGUUCAGAGUCGGUACCUUUAGCCAUAUUUCUUAUUGAUCGCCUGAAACCAUUUCUAGCUUCAACACUAUCCCUGGCAGUGUUUUUGCUUUCCUCCCCCUUUUGAGAUGCUGUAGAUUUCUGCAACACAGAAAAGGUCUCCGAGUCAACCUUAGCCCGUGACCGAGUGAUCCUACAAUCACUUUCGACCUUUUCACUUCCCCUCCCUCUCUUCUUUCUAACAACCUCCUUAGAAAGAUUGUUAUGUCCCGAUUCCUUGGACACUGGAUUUGCCAAAGUUGUCUUCCUUCUACUCCAUCUAGGCUUUGGAUUUGCCGAAGGCUCAUAUUCCCGGGUUUCAUUAUCACGACUGAAUCUAACUUUCUUGAACUUGUUCACUGCGUCCUUAGAAUUUUUCUCAUUACCUUCUUCAGAAGUGGCAUUUCCGUGUACCUUGAGCGAGGCAGUCAAACACUCUGCCAUUUCGAGGUUGGUUUUAUUUGCGGGGAUGCCAUGCUUCUUGCACAGGGCUUGAAGUUCCUUUCUUUUCAAGGAAUAAAAAUCCAUCUCUG
rnacentral:misc_RNA from 1 species